rnacentral:rRNA from 1 species
CACGUAGGCACCAAGCGUUGUCCGGAUUUAUUGGGCGUAAAGAGCUCGUAGGCGGUUCGGUAAGUCGGGUGUGAAAACUCUGGGCUCAACCCAGAGCCGCCACCCGAUACUGCUGUGACUUGAGUGCGGUAGGGGAGCGGGGAAUUCCUGGUGUAGCGGUGAAAUGCGCAGAUAUCAGGAGGAACACCGAUGGCGAAGGCAGGUCUCUGGGCCACUACUGACGCUGAGAAGCGAAAGCAUGGGGAGCGAACAGG